rnacentral:tRNA from 1 species
GAAAUUAUGACUUCAGUAGUAGAGUGCAUGCCUAGCAUGCAUAAGGUCCUGGGUUCAAUCCCCAGUAUCUCCA